GGCUAACGCUGGCGGCGUGUCUUAGCCAUGCAAGUCGAGCGGACUUAUGGGGUAACUUAUAAGUCAGCGGCGGACGGCGGAGUAACACGUAGCUAACCUACCCUCUGGACGGGGAUAACCUACCGAAAGGUGGGCUAAUACCCGAUGUAGUCAUCCUGUAUAGGGGUGAUGAAAGGUGGGCUUCUGUUUACAAGCUCAUGCUGGAGGAGGGGGCUGCGGCCUAUCAGGUAGUUGGUAGGGUAAUAGCCUACCAAGCCGAUGACGGGUAGCCGGCCUGAGAGGGUGACCGGCCCGAGGGGCACUGAGAUACGGGUCCCACUCCUACGGGAGGCAGCAGGCUAGAAAUUUGGGCAAUGGGGGAAACCCUGACCCAGUGACGCCGCGUGCAGGAAGGAGCCCUUCGGGGUGUAAACUGCUGUCGUGUAGGGGGAAGGGUACUAAGGUGAACAAUCUUAGUACUUGACGGUACUACAGGAGGAAGCCCAGGCUAACCUCGUGCCAGCAGCCGCGGUAAGAUAGCGUACU
rnacentral:rRNA from 1 species